GGCUACUUAGUUUAAUAAGAAUACAGGUUUUGUAAGUCUGCGGUAAUAUUUAUUAGUAGCCU
rnacentral:tRNA from 1 species